rnacentral:rRNA from 1 species
AUUGAACGCUGGCGGCAGGCCUAACACAUGCAAGUCGAACGGUAACAGGAAGCAUCUUGCUGCUUCGCUGACGAGUGGCGGACGGGAGGGUAAUGACUGGGACUCUGCCUGGUGGAGAGGGUUAACUACUGGAAACGGUUGCUGCUACCGCCUAAUGUCGCAAGACCAAAGAGGUGGGCACUCGAGCCUCUCGCCAUCGCCUAUGUCCAGAUGGGAUUAGCUUGUUGGUGGGGUAACGGCUCACCAAGGCGACGAUCCGUAGCUGGUCUGAGAGGAUGAACAGUCACACUGGAACUGAGACACGGUCCAGACUCCUACGGGAGGCAGCAGUGGGGAAUAUUGCACAAUGGGCGCAAGCCUGAUGCAGCCAUGCCGCGUGUAUGAAGAAGGCCUUCGGGUUGUAAAGUACUUUCAGCGGGGAGGAAGGGAGUAAAGUUAAUACCUUUGCUCAUUGACGUUACCCGCAGAAGAAGCACCGGCUAACUCCGUG